rnacentral:rRNA from 1 species
UACGUAGGGGGCAAGCGUUGUCCGGAAUCAUUGGGCGUAAAGCGCGUGUAGGCGGUCCGAUAAGUUCGCUGUGAAAGUCGGGGGCUUAACCCUCGGAUGCCGGUGAAUACUGUCGGGCUUGAGUACGGAAGAGGCGAGUGGAAUUCCUUGUGUAGCGGUGAAAUGCGCAGAUAUCAGGAGGAACACCAAUUGCGAAGGCAGCUCGCUGGGACGUUACUGACGCUGAGACGCGAAAGCGUGGGGAGCAAACAGG